AGUGAACGCUGGCGGUAGGCCUAACACAUGCAAGUCGAACGGCAGCACAGUAAGAGCUCGCUCUUACGGGUGGCGAGUGGCGGACGGGUGAGGAAUACAUCGGCAUCUACUUUUUCGUGGGGGAUAACGGAGGGAAACUUACGCUAAUACCGCAUACGACCUACGGGUGAAAGCAGGGGAUCUUCGGACCUUGCGCGAUUGAAUGAGCCGAUGUCGGAUUAGCUAGUUGGCGGGGUAAAGGCCCACCAAGGCGACGAUCCGUAGCUGGUCUGAGAGGAUGAUCAGCCACACUGGAACUGAGACACGGUCCAGACUCCUACGGGAGGCAGCAGUGGGGAAUAUUGGACAAUGGGCGCAAGCCUGAUCCAGCCAUACCGCGUGGGUGAAGAAGGCCUUCGGGUUGUAAAGCCCUUUUGUUGGGAAAGAAAAGCAGCAGGUUAAUACCCCGCUGUUCUGACGGUACCCAAAGAAUAAGCACCGGCUAACUUCGUG
rnacentral:rRNA from 1 species